rnacentral:rRNA from 1 species
UACAGAGGGUGCAAGCGUUAAUCGGAAUUACUGGGCGUAAAGCGUGCGUAGGCGGUUGCGUAAGUCAGAUGUGAAAGCCCCGGGCUCAACCUGGGAAUUGCAUUUGAGACUGCGUAGCUAGGGUGCGGAAGAGGGAAGCGGAAUUUCCGGUGUAGCGGUGAAAUGCGCAGAUAUCGGAAGGAACACCAGUGGCGAAAGCGGCUUCCUGGUCCAGCACCGACGUUCAGGCACGAAAGCGUGGGGAGCAAACAGG